rnacentral:rRNA from 1 species
UACAGAGGAUGCAAGCGUUAUCCGGAAUGAUUGGGCGUAAAGCGUCUGUAGGUGGCUUUUUAAGUCCGCCGUCAAAUCCCAGGGCUCAACUCUGGACAGGCGGUGGAAACUACCAAGCUGGAGUACGGUAGGGGCAGAGGGAAUUUCCGGUGGAGCGGUGAAAUGCGUAGAGAUCGGGAGGAACAUCUGUGGCGAAGGCGGCCACCUGGACCAACACUGACACUGAGGCACGAAAGCGUGGGGAGCAAACAGG